GAGACACCCCUAUAGAACAGGACUUGCUUCAGUGGGGCUGUGGUGCUCACUGAGUCUGCUUCUUGAGUGUGUCCCU
rnacentral:pre_miRNA from 1 species